CUCUAAUCCUGUUGUGGAACCCGUUACUGAGCAUAUUUAAGAGCUGGUGUUUGUUCUGAAUUUCUUCACAGGGAGACUGACACUGAGAAAGAAGAUAAUUCUACGGCAGGUUAUUAUCAUCUUUAACAUCUCCACCAUGAGGAUUCUUACUGUGUCUUUGGUUAUUUGUGUGUUGAUGGUUCUGACCAGAGCUGCAGGAGAGGAAGAUCAACCUCAGCCAGAUCAACCUUUGGAAGGUUCUGCAGAUGGAGACGUUUCAAUAUCACCAAUUCCAGAUCAACCUCCUGUAGCAGGUGAGUGUUCAGUUUAA
rnacentral:lncRNA from 1 species